rnacentral:rRNA from 1 species
UGGGGAAUAUUGGACAAUGGGCGCAAGCCUGAUCCAGCAAUGCCGCGUGAGUGAUGAAGGCCUUAGGGUUGUAAAGCUCUUUUACCCGUGAUGAUAAUGACAGUAGCGGGAGAAUAAGCCCCGGCUAACUCCGUGCCAGCAGCCGCGGUAAUACGGAGGGGGCUAGCGUUGUUCGGAAUUACUGGGCGUAAAGCGCACGUAGGCGGCUUUGUAAGUUAGAGGUGAAAGCCUGGAGCUCAACUCCAGAACUGCCUUUAAGACUGCAUCGCUUGAAUCCAGGAGAGGUGAGUGGAAUUCCGAGUGUAGAGGUGAAAUUCGUAGAUAUUCGGAAGAACACCAGUGGCGAAGGCGGCUCACUGGACUUGGUAUUGACGCUGAGGUGCGAAAGCGUGGGGAGCAAAACA